rnacentral:lncRNA from 1 species
UAUUAGGUGAGCGCACAUAACUUAGAGACCAAGUGGCUACAACAUGCUUAGAAAAGCAUCUAGAUAAAGUGUUAUCCAUGCAUCAGUGUUUAUUCAUAUUAUCAAUAACUGUUAGGUGAGGUACACGGCAUUGGUGGGAUCGUAGCACCCAUUAGAAAUCCAAUUAUCGCAUCAAGAUUUUUGAUUCUUCACCUGGAGAGUGUGGG